rnacentral:piRNA from 1 species
UAGGUAUACGACGCCGAUACGAUAGUG